rnacentral:rRNA from 1 species
GUGCCAGCGCCGCGGUAAUACCGGCAGCACGAGUGAUGGCCGAUCUUAUUGGGCCUAAAGCGUCCGUAGCCGGCCGGACAAGUCCGUUGGGAAAUCCACGCGCUCAACGCGUGGGCGUCCAGCGGAAACUGUCCGGCUUGGGGCCGGAAGACCUGAGGGGUACGUCCGGGGUAGGAGUGAAAUCAUGUAAUCCUGGACGGACCGCCGGUGGCGAAAGCGCCUCAGGAAGACGGACCCGACGGUGAGGGACGAAAGCUAGGGUCUCGAACCGGAUUAGAUACCCGGGUAGUCC